rnacentral:tRNA from 1 species
UGCCGGGUCGUCUAAUGGUAGGACGCCAGGCUCUGGACCUGGUUGUGAGGGUUCGAGUCCUUCCCCGGCAACCA